rnacentral:lncRNA from 1 species
CAGGCCUGGUGGAAGGGAGUUAACAGCUGGGAAGCCAGGUGUGGUGGCCCGUCCCUGUAAUCCCAGCCCUCCAGAGGCUGAGGCAGGAGGAUCGCCUCAAGUUUGAGGCCAGCCUGGGUCACAUAUUGAGCUCAAGGCCAGCCUGAACUACAGUGAGGCACUGUCUAAAAAAAAGCUGGAGGAGCUGGGCAUGGUGGUGCACACCUAGACCCUAGCACUCAGGAGGCUGAAGCAGGGGGACUGGCAGGAGGAGCGCCUUGAGGUCAAGGCCAGCCUGAACUACAUAGCAAGACUGUCUCGGAACAAUACCAAAGAGCUCGGGGAACUCGACAGGAUCUCUGGGGUGGCUGGAGAGUGGAGAAGAAAACACGCGAGACUCCUAGGCAGGAGGUGGCGCUGGGGCAGGAUUUAUUGGGGUCUCCCGAAGUGGACAGAGGUCCUGGGGUCUGGAGUCACUUUCCCGAGGAGGCCGUGGAGGGGCGCCGGUGUGUUCCCGCGUGACAGCGGCCUGCACGGAGGCCGCGGGAGCCGCUCAGCUCCGUGGCGUGGCCAGAAGCCUCCUGGGCUCCUCCUCGCUCCCGCCCCGGCAGCGCCACUCCUCACCUUUGCCCCGGAAGCACAGGGCGCUGCCCAAGGCCACAGAGAGGAAGCUGAAGGCGAAGAAUCCGGCUCGCAGGAGCAGCGCUGCGCUGGACUCUGGACGCGGGGCCCCUGCGUGCGGCCGGGCUGGGGGCCCUGGGGUGAGGGCUGGGUGAGGGGGGUCCAGGCCCUCCGAGCCCGGCCCCGGCCCCGGCCCCCAGCACCUCACCUUUUCCCACCAGCAGCCGGGUCCCGUUCCCCGUCCCGACGCCCAGGCCCAGCACCUCCACUCGGCACAGCGGCCUCACUGGUGACUGCUGUGCUGAAGUUUAUGCUGCCAGUACCCUGGAAACUCAUCAGAAUGCGGCUGCCUAGGGAACUAGUGUGGUUGCCUUAG